CCUUUCAAAAGCCCCUUUAAAAUUAAAGUACUGUUGCUUCAAAUCACAAUUCCUUUAAUUGCUAUUCAACACAUGCAAGUAACUUGUCUUUUGUGUCUCUUUAAAUAGUAAAUUUAAUAAUUAGUAAAUAGCAGAACAUUUGUUCAAUAGUAUUAUCCCUAUUUCGUUUUUUUUCUGUGUUACUUGUUUCAGUUUUAUCCAAUAUAUUGAGUUAAUAAUAGAACGCUGCAAAGUCUUCAGAUGUCUGACAGCUCAGUGGCUUAAUAAUUAACUUUCUGGGGCCUGAGACUUUGUUUUGAUCCAAGAAAAAUGUGUUCAGCCUAUCCACCAGUGAGCCCUGUUGGCAGCAUGUAUUUCCACAAGCAACAAUCUACAAUGAUUAUGACAGAGCAAACUGACACCAAGGAAGUUAUCCACAGACAUUCAGAAAGUUGCUGGCAGAAUUCACCUGGAGCCUGGGAAUCCUGAUGUCUGUCCCUGUAGUUAACCCAUGGCACCUCUGGUCACAGUUAUCCUUUUGCUGAGUAUAGGAUUAUCCCAGGAGUAUUGAAUCUCUGUUGUGAUAAGGGAAUGGCACUGACACGAGGCGGGCAGAGACUCAGCCUGUGGACAGCUGAGGGAGAAUUGAUUUGCUGUGAGUUUCGUAGCAUUUCCUAUGGAUUAAGGGUCACUGGAUUCCAGUUCUGUUCCUGACUGCAGAGCACUGUCUGUCUCAGACUGGCUCCAGGAAAUGGACACUCUUCCGCAGAAGCCAGAAGAUUUCGUGGAAGCGCUGUGGCCCCUUUCCAGGUUGCAGUUCACCCACUGCCCUGGGGAGUGUCAUUAGUGGGAGGGAAGUGGAGAUUUAAAGGGAUGAGGAGAGGAGAGAAAAAAGAA